GAAUUCUGGAAGGAUUACAAUUGGUUGUCCGGCUCAGCAAACUUCUGUUGGAGUAAUUUUCAGGAGGCAUGUGAGGCAGCAGCUCCAAGUUCUAUAUAAUUGAGUAGAAGAGUGAGGGGUGGGUAUGAAAUGGAAAUUUGCAUUUCAUUCCAGCUUAGUAAGCUUGGGGGCAGUUUGUAUACUGCUGGGGUGUAAGGGAGAUAGUUUGUAUCUUGUUGCACCUGGAUCCUUUGGGUUCUUUGAAUAGAAGUCUCUUCUUCAUUCUGCUACCAUUUCUUGUUCUGUUUUCAUUAGUUAAAUUUCAGUUUUGUGAUUCCUUAAUUGCUAGAAUUAUGACUCAAAAUCCUAG
rnacentral:misc_RNA from 1 species